UGGGGGGUCGUCUAGUGGUAGGACACAAGCCUUUGGAGCUUGGUACGAAGGUUCGAAUCCUUCCCCCCCAGCCA
rnacentral:tRNA from 1 species